rnacentral:rRNA from 1 species
UUGAACGCUGGCGGCAGGCCUAACACCUGCAAGUCGAGCGGAUGAAGGGAGCUUGCUCCUGGAUUCAGCGGCGGACGGGUGAGUAAUGCCUAGGAAUCUGCCUGGUAGUGGGGGAUAACGUCCGGAAACGGGCGCUAAUACCGCAUACGUCCUGAGGGAGAAAGUGGGGGAUCUUCGGACCUCACGCUAUCAGAUGAGCCUAGGUCGGAUUAGCCAGUUGGUGGGGUAAAGGCCUACCAAGGCGACGAUCCGUAACUGGUCUGAGAGGAUGAUCAGUCACACUGGAACUGAGACACGGUCCAGACUCCUACGGGAGGCAGCAGUGGGGAAUAUUGGACAAUGGGCGAAAGCCUGAUCCAGCCAUGCCGCGUGUGUGAAGAAGGUCUUCGGAUUGUAAAGCACUUUAAGUUGGGAGGAAGGGCAGUAAGUUAAUACCUUGCUGUUUUGACGUUACCAACAGAAUAAGCACCGGCUAACUUCGUG